rnacentral:rRNA from 1 species
AACGAACGCUGGCGGCAUGCCUAACACAUGCAAGUCGAACGAAGCCUUCGGGCUUAGUGGCGCACGGGUGCGUAACGCGUGGGAAUCUGCCCUUGGGUUCAGAAUAACAGUUAGAAAUGACGGCUAAUACCGGAUGAUGUCUUCGGACCAAAGAUUUAUCGCCCAGGGAUGAGCCCGCGUAGGAUUAGGUAGUUGGUGGGGUAAUGGCCCACCAAGCCGACGAUCCUUAGCUGGUCUGAGAGGAUGAUCAGCCACACUGGGACUGAGACACGGCCCAGACUCCUACGGGAGGCAGCAGUGGGGAAUAUUGGACAAUGGGCGAAAGCCUGAUCCAGCAAUGCCGCGUGAGUGAUGAAGGCCUUAGGGUUGUAAAGCUCUUUUACCAGGGAUGAUAAUGACAGUACCUGGAGAAUAAGCUCCGGCUAACUCCGUGCCAGCCGCCGCCGUAA